rnacentral:rRNA from 1 species
UACAGAGGGGGCAAGCGUUAUUCGGAAUUAUUGGGCGUAAAGGGCGCGUAGGCGGCUUGGCAAGUCGAAUGUGAAAUCUCUCGGCUUAACCGAGGAACUGCCCUCCAAACUGCUUGGCUUGAGUCCGGGAGAGGUGAGUGGAAUUCCCAGUGUAGCGGUGAAAUGCGUAGAUAUUGGGAGGAACACCAGUGGCGAAGGCGGCUCACUGGACCGGAACUGACGCUGAGGCGCGAAAGCGUGGGGAGCAAACGGG